rnacentral:rRNA from 1 species
UACGUAGGGAGCAAGCGUUGUCCGGAAUCAUUGGGCGUAAAGCGCGCGUAGGUGGCCCGGUAAGUCCGCUCUGAAAGUCAAAGGCUCAACCUUUGAAAGCGGGUGGAUACUGCCAGGCUAGAGUCCGGAAGAGGCGAGUGGAAUUCCUGGGUGUAGCGGUGGAAUGCGCAGAUAUCGGGAGGAACACCAAUGGCGAAGGCAGCUUGCUGGGACGGUACUGACGCUG